GUAGGAGCCGGCUUGCUGGCGAUGGUGUCACCGCGGUUCAUCUGAAACACCGCACUGACAGGAUCGCCAGCAAGCCGGCUCCUAC
rnacentral:misc_RNA from 1 species